AGUGUGGUGUGGUUCCAACAGUA
rnacentral:siRNA from 1 species